rnacentral:rRNA from 1 species
UACGGGGGGAGCAAGCGUUGUUCGGAUUUACUGGGCGUAAAGAGCGCGCAGGCGGUCGUUCAAGUCGAGUGUGAAAGCCCCCGGCUCAACUGGGGAGGGUCACUCGAUACUGAUCGACUUGAAGGCAGGAGAGGGAAGCGGAAUUCCCGGUGUAGUGGUGAAAUGCGUAGAUAUCGGGAGGAACACCAGUGGCGAAGGCGGCUUCCUGGCCUGUUCUUGACGCUGAGGCGCGAAAGCUGGGGGAGCAAACGGG